GUGGGGAAUCUUAGACAAUGGGCGCAAGCCUGAUCUAGCCAUGCCGCGUGAGCGAUGAAGGCCUUAGGGUUGUAAAGCUCUUUCAGGGGGGAAGAUAAUGACGGUACCCCCAGAAGAAGCCCCGGCUAACUCCGUGCCAGCAGCCGCGGUAAUACGGAGGGGGCUAGCGUUGUUCGGAAUUACUGGGCGUAAAGCGCACGUAGGCGGACCAGAAAGUCAGGGGUGAAAUCCCGGGGCUCAACCCCGGAACUGCCUUUGAAACUCCUGGUGGUGAGGUCGAGAGAGGUGAGUGGAAUUCCGAGUGUAGAGGUGAAAUUCGUAGAUAUUCGGAGGAACACCAGUGGCGAAGGCGGCUCACUGGCUCGAUACUGACGCUGAGGUGCGAAAGCGUGGGGAGCAAACAGGAUUAGAUACCCGGGUAGUCC
rnacentral:rRNA from 1 species